rnacentral:lncRNA from 1 species
CUGGAUAGGCCAGAAAAUGUGACACGUCACUCCCUAUGUAAAUGUUCGGUGCGAGCUCUGCUGACAAAGUGGUAACGGAAAACAGACAGACUAUAAUGCCCGGGCAUAUGCUACAUGAUUUUGCCAUGAAUUAGAACCGUUUUUGUCAUCCCAGACAAAGUUUCGUGAUCGGGGGGAAAUCCUAUGAACUUGGGCUAGGAGCAGUGCAAUGGGAUCAGGUAGUUUGAGCUGGGAAAGGACGAAACCGAUGAUGGCUGUUCUCUUCUCCAGACCCUUGUCGGUUGUCCCGAUAAUUUUCUGACAUGUCAGAAGGGUUGGUCGUUCAUCUUGUAGUAUGAGCAGUGCUACGACGCAAUUGGGCAAGGACUACUGCCAAUAGCCAAUGAGCAUUCAGCAUGUGAGACCCAAAACAAUGACGGCGAAGAGGAAAGCAACAUCAACGUGCACCGUAUGGACCAAGGUGAUGGAAGACAGAUUGGUGGAGCUGUGGAGAGAAUGCAGCAGCCUUUUCAAUAUUACCUCUGUGUCCCACCAUGACAGAAACCAAAAAGAUAAAGGCUGGAAUGAAAUACCCUCUGCCCUUCAGCAACCUGGUAACCAUGGUUGACAGAGGAAGAACAAUGAUUCCAAGCACCACCCUCCUUUUGAAGCUUCCAGUCUGUAAUUCGAACUCAAUCAGCAUGACAGAGAGCUCUCCAGCCUUGUCCUCGUCAACACUCACACCUGUGUUACCGAGAGAAUCACUGACAUGAUGUCAGCUGGUCCUAUUGUGGCAGGGCUGAAAUGCAGUGGAACUGUUUUUGGGGAUUCAGUUCAUUUGCAUGGCAAAGAGGGACUUUGCAAUGAAUUGCAAUUCAUCUGAUCACUCUUCAUAACAUUCUGGAGUAUAUGCAAAUUGCCAUCAUACAAACUGAAGCAGCAGACUGUGAAAAUGUAUAUUUGUGUCAUUCUCAAAACUUUUGGUCAUGACUGUACAGUUGCAAAGAAAAAGCCAUAUCUCAGACUGGCCCAAAAAAUAAAAGAUUAAGAUCAGCAAAAGAACACAGACACUGGACAGAGGAACUCGGCCUAGAAGGCCAGCAUCCCGGUGUCGCCUCUUCACUGUUGACGUUGAGACGUGUUUUGUGUGUACUAUUUAAUAAAGCUGCCAGUUGAGGACUUGUGAGGCAUCUGUUUCUCAAACUAGAAACUCUAAUAUACUUGUCCUCUUGCUCAGUUCUGCACCGGGGUCUCCCACUCCUCCUUCUAUUCUGGUUAGAAGGAGUUUGCACUGUUCUGUGAAGGGAGUAGUACAC